rnacentral:rRNA from 1 species
UAGAGUUUGAUCCUGGCUCAGGACGAACGCUGGCGGCGUGCCUAAUACAUGCAAGUCGAGCGAAUCAAUAGGAGCUUGCUCCUGUUGAUUAGCGGCGGACGGGUAAGUAACACGUGGGCAACCUGCCUGUAAGACUGGGAUAACACCGGGAAACCGGUGCUAAUACCGGAUAAUCUUUUUCCUCUCAUGAGGAAAAACUGAAAGUCGGUUUCGGCUGACACUUACAGAUGGGCCCGCGGCGCAUUAGCUAGUUGGUGAGGUAACGGCUCACCAAGGCGACGAUGCGUAGCCGACCUGAGAGGGUGAUCGGCCACACUGGGACUGAGACACGGCCCAGACUCCUACGGGAGGCAGCAGUAGGGAAUCUUCCACAAUGGACGAAAGUCUGAUGGAGCAACGCCGCGUGAGCGAUGAAGGCCUUCGGGUCGUAAAGCUCUGUUGUUAGGGAAGAACAAGUACCGGAGUAACUGCCGGUACCUUGACGGUACCUAACCAGAAAGCCACGGCUAACUACGUGCCAGCAGCCGCGGUAAUACGUAGGUGGCAAGCGUUGUCCGGAAUUAUUGGGCGUAAAGCGCGCGCAGGCGGUCCUUUAAGUCUGAUGUGAAAGCCCACGGCUCAACCGUGGAGGGUCAUUGGAAACUGGGGGACUUGAGCGCAGAAGAGGAAAGCGGAAUUCCACGUGUAGCGGUGAAAUGCGUAGAGAUGUGGAGGAACACCAGUGGCGAAGGCGGCUUUCUGGUCUGUAACUGNNGCUGAGGCGCG